UACGUAGGGUCCGAGCGUUGUCCGGAGUUACUGGGCGUAAAGCGCGCGCAGGCGGCGGUGUUGGCCCGGCGUGAAAGCCCCCGGCUCAACCGGGGAGAGUCGUCGGGGACCGCACCGCUUGAGGGCGGUAGGGGCUGGUGGAAUGCCUGGUGUAGUGGUGAAAUGCGUAGAGAUCAGGCAGAACACCUGGGGCGAAGGCGGCAUCCUGGACUGGUCCUGACACUCAGGAGCGAAAGCGUGGGGAGCGAUCCGG
rnacentral:rRNA from 1 species